rnacentral:siRNA from 1 species
UGUAUGUUGUCGCUGGUUGCUGU